AACGAACGCUGGCGGCAUGCCUAACACAUGCAAGUCGAACGAGACCUUCGGGUCUAGUGGCGCACGGGUGCGUAACGCGUGGGAACCUGCCCUUAGGUUCGGAAUAACUCCCCGAAAGGGGUGCUAAUACCGGAUAAUGUCUUCGGACCAAAGAUUUAUCGCCUUUGGAUGGGCCCGCGUUGGAUUAGCUAGUUGGUAGGGUAAAAGCCUACCAAGGCGACGAUCCAUAGCUGGUCUGAGAGGAUGAUCAGCCACACUGGGACUGAGACACGGCCCAGAAACCAAGGGAGGGAGGAGGGGGGGAAUAUGGGAAAGGGGGCAAAGGCCUGAACCAGAAAGGAGGGGGGAGUGAUAAGGGCCUUAGGGUUGAAAAGCUCUUUUACCCGGAAUAAAAAGAAAAGGACGGGGAGAAAAAGGCCCGGCAAAACCCGG
rnacentral:rRNA from 1 species